GAUGAACGCUGGCGGCGUGCUUAACACAUGCAAGUCGAACGGAAAGGCCCAAGCUUGCUUGGGUACUCGAGUGGCGAACGGGUGAGUAACACGUGGGUGAUCUGCCCUGCACUUCGGGAUAAGCCUGGGAAACUGGGUCUAAUACCGGAUAGGACCAUUUUGGAUGGUGUGGUGGAAAGUUUUUCGGUGUGGGAUGAGCUCGCGGCCUAUCAGCUUGUUGGUGGGGUAAUGGCCUACCAAGGCGUCGACGGGUAGCCGGCCUGAGAGGGUGUACGGCCACAUUGGGACUGAGAUACGGCCCAGACUCCUACGGGAGGCAGCAGUGGGGAAUAUUGCACAAUGGGCGCAAGCCUGAUGCAGCGACGCCGCGUGGGGGAUGACGGCCUUCGGGUUGUAAACUCCUUUCGCUAGGGACGAAGCGCAAGUGACGGUACCUGGAGAAGAAGCACCGGCUAACUACGUG
rnacentral:rRNA from 1 species